rnacentral:rRNA from 1 species
UGGGGAAUAUUGCACAAUGGGGGAAACCCUGAUGCAGCAACGCCGCGUGAGCGAAGAAGGCCUUUGGGUCGUAAAGCUCUGUCCUUAGGGAAGAAGGAAGUGACGGUACCUAAGGAGGAAGCCCCGGCUAACUACGUGCCAGCAGCCGCGGUAAUACGUAGGGGGCAAGCGUUAUCCGGAAUUAUUGGGCGUAAAGGGUACGUAGGCGGUUUGAUAAGCGUGAGGUGAAAGGCAAUUGCUUAACGAUUGUAAGCCUUGCGAACUGUGAGACUUGAGUGCAGGAGAGGAAAGCGGAAUUCCUAGUGUAGCGGUGAAAUGCGUAGAUAUUAGGAGGAACACCAGUGGCGAAGGCGGCUUUCUGGACUGUAACUGACGCUGAGGUACGAAAGCGUGGGGAGCAAACAGG